rnacentral:rRNA from 7 species
CCUGGGGAGUACGGCCGCAAGGCUAAAACUCAAAGGAAUUGACGGGGGCCCGCACAAGCGGCGGAGCAUGCGGAUUAAUUCGAUGCAACGCGAAGAACCUUACCAAGGCUUGACAUAUACCGGAAACGGCCAGAGAUGGUCGCCCCGCAAGGUCGGUAUACAGGUGGUGCAUGGUUGUCGUCAGCUCGUGUCGUGAGAUGUUGGGUUAAGUCCCGCAACGAGCGCAACCCUCGUCCUAUGUUGCCAGCACGUAAUGGUGGGAACUCAUGGGAUACUGCCGGGGUCAACUCGGAGGAAGGUGGGGAUGAGGUCAAAUCAUCAUGCCCCUUAUGUCUUGGGCUUCACGCAUGCUACAAUGGCCGGUACAAUGGGCUGCGAUACCGCAAGGUGGAGCGAAUCCCAAAAAGCCGGUCUCAGUUCGGAUUGGGGUCUGCAACUCGACCCCAUGAAGUCGGAGUCGCUAGUAAUCGUAGAUCAGCAACGCUACGGUGAAUACGUUCCCGGGCCUUGUACACACCGCCCGUCAAGUCAUGAAAGUCGGUAACACCCGAAGCCA